rnacentral:lncRNA from 1 species
CCAAAAUAAAUAAUGGAACUCUAAAAAUUAGUUACACUAAUAUCAAGCUGCAUCAAAACAAAUAAAAGAAAUGAGUGAAUUUAACUUUCAGGUUUUGAGUUACAUCAAAACAAACAACAAAAACAUAAUUGCACUUCAGGAAAACUCAAACACCACUGCACUGGAGUUACGUUGGAUCUAGAGAUUCAUCAAACCAAAGCCCCCUAAAUUCAUAUCUUUUCUUUGAACUAACAUGGCAACUCUUGUUACAUUUUCAGUCCAAAGAAUAUCACACUCGAUGCCCAUCUAUUUAAUAGAAAAUAUUUUUCAAC